rnacentral:rRNA from 1 species
CCUACGGGCGGCUGCAGUGGGGAAUAUUGGACAAUGGGCGAAAGCCUGAUCCAGCCAUGCCGCGUGUGUGAAGAAGGCCUUCGGGUUGUAAAGCACUUUCAGUGGGGAAGAAAGCCUUGGGGCUAAUACCCUCGAGGAAGGACAUCACCCACAGAAGAAGCACCGGCUAACUCCGUGCCAGCAGCCGCGGUAAUACGGAGGGUGCGAGCGUUAAUCGGAAUUACUGGGCGUAAAGCGCGCGUAGGCGGUCUGAUAAGCCGGUUGUGAAAGCCCCGGGCUCAACCUGGGAACGGCAUCCGGAACUGUCAGGCUAGAGUGCAGGAGAGGAAAGUAGAAUUCCCGGUGUAGCGGUGAAAUGCGUAGAGAUCGGGAGGAAUACCAGUGGCGAAGGCGGCCUUCUGGACUGACACUGACGCUGAGGUGCGAAAGCGUGGGUAGCAAACAGGAUUAGAUACCCGAGUAGUC